GUCACAAGUUGCCCUCCUGGCACAUCCCAGCACCCACCUUUGGCCGUGAACUGCGGCGUUUCCGUGCUGAGGUCCCAGAAGCGGACAGUGGUGUCUCCAGAGCCGCUUGCCAGGGAGCUUGUGCAGCGUGUCACCGCCCGCACCCUGAACACCGCCUGCGGCUGGUAGAUGAUGUCCAGGACCUUCUCUGUCUCCACGCUCUGCCCUGCCAGGGUCUUCUCCAGUGACGCCACGAUCUCGGCAUCGUGGACGAAGAAGGCCAGAGGCACCGGCUCGUCCUGCGGGAGACAGGGCAGGAUAUUCAUAUUCUGCUCCUGACCAGCUGCAGGGACUGCAUGAUCUCCAGCAAGGUCACAACAAACCCAGCAUGGACCAAGAUGGAAUAAAACAACAUACCUCCACAUUUUCCCUACCACCACACAAGGCAGAACCCACUUCCUCAGCUGCACACCACAGUCCCAGAAGCAACACCUUUCAGGCAAGUAAAUUCCCAGUUUUUAGCUCUCAUCACAGAAAAAUAAUUUGCAUUAUAUAGGAAUUAGUAGGGAAAAAAGCAUCUUAAAAUGAGAUGCCUCAAACAAAUUGUGUUCUUUACACAUCAUCUUUUGAGAUUUGUGACUCUGCUCUGGAAGAGAGAAAAAAAUUACACUCAAAUUCUUUUCUGAUUUCUCAAUAAGGACCCUAUGUUUUCAAAUUCUUUUUAGACAUCAGAAAGCAGCACUGCUUUGAUGACUAAAAUAUCAUUUUCCUUGUUUAAGUGACUUUGGGGCUGAGGUUAUGUAUUGUGGAGGCACAUGAUAAAUAACUACAUGAGAAAGACAAACAGCAAGAGAAAGGGAUGCAACAUGAGGAAACAGUUGGGCAAACAAAAGGAACCAAUAUGAAGAAAGAAGUGUUUCCUUUUUGCCUGCAGACUUGCACAAAUGAGGGAGGACUGAGUAGAUGCAAAGUAGAGAAACAUGUUACUGUGCAUGUAGCUCACUACCAAAAGGAAAUAUUUUAAUUUCAUUCUUACUUCCAGCAGCCUCUGAAGAGGUGGAGUCCAAAUGACAACAAAUCAGUUACAAGGGGAGGAACUCUAUCAAAUAAAUCCAAGAACAAAAGCAGUACAUUCCACAUAUAAAUCUCCACAAGUCUCUUGCAACCACUACUUAUGUCUUUUUAUGUAAUACAGGAUAUUUACCGUCCAUGGCAGGUUAAUUAUCAAUUCUCAGCCCCACCAUCCAAACUUUCUACAAUUCUUUUAAGGUGGGAUGAGAUGGGUGAGGGAAGAACUGGAAAUAGCAAUGUUCACUUAAUUUCUUAUGAUUACACAUGGAAGAACAGAAGCAACCUAUGCUCAUUGAGUACACAAUGAUUUUGAAGUCUCUUCAGCAGCUUUUUUAUUUUUAAACAAGUCAAACAAUACACAGCUCAAACUGACCAGCAGCAAGUUAACAUCAGCGAUACAUAAAACUUUCUUCCUUGCAACAUCGCAUCAUGCUUGCUAAGAACCUGAGAACUGAGGCAGCUCCCUGCACAAAAAUAUUCCCCAUUUCCCACCUUUUCAACCAAAGGGAACACACAGC